rnacentral:lncRNA from 1 species
UACUGUCAUGGAGGGAACACCCGUGGAGGUGCUUGGCGUCCCCGACGAUAUCCUUGCCUCUGUUAGAAUGGUUGACAAGCUCACGAUACACUUCCAACGACCAGGGAACGGGGGAGGAGAGGUAAAGAGAGUACAGUUUCCAUCCUACAGCCCAGGACAGGCCUUUGUCAUAUUUGAGGAUCCAGAAGUGGCUGCACGUGUGUCGCAGCGGACCCAUGUCUUAGAAGUGGAUGGGCAACACUUUCCUCUUAAAAUCAGGAACGCUGACACGCCUGAGGUGGACGUGCCAGUCAAGGUCGAUCUGGAUGUGAGCAUGUUCUCCAAGGACAGCGAGGAGGUGCUCCAGCCUGUGAACGAGAUUCCCCAGCUACCCAUUCAGGGCUCCUUUCAGAAGUUCACUGCAGUGAAGGCCCAACUGCAGCAGGUCUUACCCCAGGACACAAACACCCUGCGCCACAGCAGCCCUUCGCCAUCCAGUCUCAAUAGCCAUGCCUCUGGGGCCAUUUCCAGAUCCUCAAUCCGCUGCAACCCAUUUCCCAGCCCGCAAGCAACAGGGUAUGUUGGGGACAACUUGACCCAUGUCAGGAACACAUCCCCCAAACCAGUGGAACCCAUCUCCCAGACCAGUGGAACCCAUCCCCCAAACCAGUGGAACCCAUCCCCCAAACCAGUGGAACCCAUCUCCCAGACCCCAUCCCCCAAACCAGUGGAACCCAUCUCCCAGACCCCAUCUCCCAGUGAGGUCUUCUUCAUAACGGACACAGAUGUGCUCCGUUAUGCCCAGUGCGUCAGGAAAAAGGACAUUGAUUCCAUUCUUGGAGGCCACACAACUCAAAUGGAUGUUAAGCCAGCUGAAGGUUCAGACCUCCACUAUGUUUUCAUUGAAGGGAAGAGUCCAGAGGGGGUUAUGGAAAAGCUGCAGGUUUUUUUCAACAAGCUUCAUUUAAGACUACGAACUCAAGAAAUCCCACUAUGGACACUCGAUCGCGACCGACAGGUUAGAAUUCAUCAACUGGUUCAGAAGUAUAAUAUAAUUUAUCCUACUGUCCUCGUCGAUCAGGUUGGAGAUCUCCUCCGCCUUGUAGGACCUUCCAAGGAAAGUUAUGAGAUGAAGCAGAGGCUCCUGGGAAAACCCAUAGACCUGCUACCAGCUGGGCUAACAGGGAGGGUAGUGGACAGGAGUACCCAUGGUGCUCCCAUCCCAUGGGCUCCUGGCCCCGUACCUGACCCCGUGUCUGCUACUGCACCAGAUUACUAG